UACAGAGACUGCAAGCGUUAUUCGGAUUCACUGGGCGUAAAGGGUGCGCAGGCGGCCAAGUGUGUUAGGUGUGAAAGCCCGGGCUUAACCCCGGAAUUGCACCUAAAACUACAUGGCUAGAGCAUUGGAGAGGGGAGCAGAAUUCACGGUGUAGCAGUGAAAUGCGUAGAUAUCGUGAGGAAUACCAGAGGCGAAGGCGGCUCCCUGGACAAUUGCUGACGCUCAGGCACGAAAGCGUGGGGAGCAAAAGGG
rnacentral:rRNA from 1 species